rnacentral:tRNA from 1 species
AUCUUUCUAGUAUUUAAAGAUAGUACAAGUGACUUCCAAUCAUUUAGUCUUGGUUAAAAUCCAAGGAAAGAUA